UGCUGCAAAAGCAAAAAUAAAAAACUGAAUCGAAACUUUUAUCCCUUUUAUCUCACGUCGGCCGUUGGCUCAAACCAACAGUACAAAUAUAGUGAGCCGCUGAGCCGCCAACUCAGCAUUAAAUUUUCAGCCGUUGAAUUAUUCGACUAUAGUGAGCAUUUGAUAAGCAAGUUUUGUUUUGUUUCUCCAUCGUAGUAACUGUUUUAUCCAUGGAUGUCCCGUCUCUCUACACGUGGAGGAAACAAACCGGUCAAGUCCAGAAAAAGUUUAAAACAGCCCAGGAUUCCCCGGAUCACAUAAGUGCUAAAAGAAGUGAGACAGGUAACCAAAUAUCACCGUUGAAAGGCAAUAAAUUCACUGUCAUAGAGGAACUGCAGAAUUUUGCCAAUUGAGACCCUUUUUAAAAAUGCCCUGCAGGUUGUCUAUGCCCAUCUUUGUGAUACUGGCUGCCAACACACAUUGACUGGCCACUUGAUGUAUCAGAUAUCAAGUGUAGUGGAUUUCUUGCUGAAAUGUCAACCAUAUCUUUCUCAGCACUUUGCGACCAUCACUAUGCAGCUUCAGUGUCUUGACAGAUUACAAUUAAGCUGGAUGACGACUUUUAAAAUUUGUAUGAAGAAACGCUGAUGUCAUCUCCAGUAUCAAAUCAAAGUGUUUCGUCAGUAGUCAAAUGAUUUGCUUGUGAGUCUCCGAUAACGAGGCUUUUCACGGUCUAAUUGUUAGACAUUUCGUUACUAGGUGAAUGCGAACUGACUGCUUCGCGCUAUUGUGAGACAUAAAUCACUACCGGCGAACAUGAAAGUCUUUUAUUGUUACAAGGAUUCUGUUAUCAUGGUGAUAUCAACUGGCGAAAAAGUUAAUUGAUUAUACCCGGCCGUAGUAAGUGACUCUUCCGAGAGCUGGUUUGAGUCUCUUUCCUUUAAAUUUAAAUUUAAUAAAUAUUCCAUUCAUUUCUCGUUUAUUUCUGUAGGAUUCGGUUGAUAUUGCGCUUUGCUUAGCAAUCUAUCCGUCCGCUGAUGCAGACCACUGAAAAGUGUGUUCACAUGAUGGUGAUAGUGUUCAUUUGAAAAGGAGCGAAUUGCUGAGCAAAGAUGUGUUACAACAUAAAUCGUGCUGUUUGAGGUUUUCAUAUUAAAUAUUAUAAAGAGGCUACUUUUCAUCCCACUCUUCCAUCUCAUGCGUUAGCGAAUCAUCCAACAUGAUACGUUACGAGAACCGUUACACUGGUUAGCGAAUCAUGCAACAUGACAUGACAUCUGGUGCGUGACUGGAAAGUGAGCAGAGGAAAACAGUCUUUCGUUCGUCUGCUGCUUGAGGUUUUGAAAAUUCGAGUUCAGUUUUUUUCUUUCAGUUUUAUACUUCACGGUGCAAUGACUGCAAUCCAGGCUGCUUCCUGACUGUUUCGUUUAUCUUCAAAUUUUCGACGGUUUUAAGAAAGUAGAAACCAAUUGGCUGGUUCUUCCACUGAUAGCAGCCAACCUAUCUCAUCUCUCCUCUUCUUUGCAUCCUUGUUUACAUUCAUGGAUGCUGUGUUUGCAGAGAUGACCUUGUUCUUUUUGUCACUGAAUGGAACAUCAGGGAAUGCUAAGGAUUUCCCAGGAUCCAAGAUUAUAAGUACUACACCACCAAGGUUCCAGAAUAUUGCACGAAUACUUACGCUGCCCCGAGCUACUACACAGCCACUACACCGCCCAAGUACUACAACCUACGCUGCCCCAGCUUACAUCACUUACACCACUAAG